UGCGGAGGGUGCGAGCGUUGUCCGGAAUCACUGGGCGUAAAGCGCGUGUAGGCGGCAACGCAAGUCGGGCGUGAAAUCCCACGGCUCAACCGUGGAAGUGCACUCGAAACUGCGUAGCUAGAGUCCUGGAGAGGAAGGUGGAAUGCUUGGUGUAGAGGUGAAAUUCGUAGAUAUCAAGCGGAACACCGGAUGGCGAAGGCGGC
rnacentral:rRNA from 1 species